rnacentral:rRNA from 1 species
CCUACGGGAGGCAGCAGUGAGGAAUAUUGGUCAAUGGACGCGAGUCUGAACCAGCCAAGUAGCGUGAAGGAUGACUGCCCUAGGGGUUGUAACCUUCUUUUAUAAAGGAAUAAAAAUAGGCACGUGUGCCUUUUUGCAUGUACUUUAUGAAUAAGGAUCGGCUAACUCCGUGCCAGCAGCCGCGGUAAUACGGAGGAUCCGAGCGUUAUCCGGAUUUAUUGGGUGUAAAGGGAGCGUAGAUGGGUUGUUAAGUCAGUUGUGAAAGUUUGCGGCUCAACCGUAAAAUUGCAAUUGAUACUGGCAGUCUUGAGUACAGGUGAGGUAGGCGGAAUUCGGGGUGUAGCGGUGAAAUGCUUAGAUAUCACGAAGAACCCCGAUUGCGAAGGCAGCUUACUAAACUGUGACUGACACUGAUGCGCGAAAGUGUGGGGAGCAAACAGGAUUAGAUACCCGAGUAGUC